AUCCAAUUUACACUGACGGACAGA
rnacentral:siRNA from 1 species